UACGUAGGGUGCGAGCGUUGUCCGGAAUUACUGGGCGUAAAGAGCUCGUAGGUGGUUUGUCGCGUUGUUCGUGAAAACCGGGGGCUUAACCCUCGGCGUGCGGGCGAUACGGGCAGACUUGAGUACUGCAGGGGAGACUGGAAUUCCUGGUGUAGCGGUGGAAUGCGCAGAUAUCAGGAGGAACACCGGUGACGAAGGCGGGUCUCUGGGCAGUAACUGACGCUGAGGAGCGAAAGCGUGGGGAGCGAACAGG
rnacentral:rRNA from 1 species